rnacentral:rRNA from 1 species
AUUGAACGCUGGCGGCAGGCCUAACACAUGCAAGUCGAGCGGUAGAGAGAAGCUUGCUUCUCUUGAGAGCGGCGGACGGGUGAGUAAUGCCUAGGAAUCUGCCUGGUAGUGGGGGAUAACGUUCGGAAACGGACGCUAAUACCGCAUACGUCCUACGGGAGAAAGCAGGGGACCUGCGGGCCUUGCGCUAUCAGAUGAGCCUAGGUCGGAUUAGCUAGUUGGUGAGGUAAUGGCUCACCAAGGCGACGAUCCGUAACUGGUCUGAGAGGAUGAUCAGUCACACUGGAACUGAGACACGGUCCAGACUCCUACGGGAGGCAGCAGUGGGGAAUAUUGGACAAUGGGCAAAAGCCUGAUCCAGCCAUGCCGCGUGUGUGAAGAAGGUCUUCGGAUUGUAAAGCACUUUAAGUUGGGAGGAAGGGUUGUAGAUUAAUACUCUGCAAUUUUGACGUUACCGACAGAAUAAGCACCGACUAACUCUGUGCCAGCCGCCGCAGUAA